rnacentral:ncRNA from 1 species
AAAUAGAGGAGCGGAAGAACAAGAGUACUCCGCCGUAAAGCAAAAUACGGAAGAUUUUGCGGCCGAAGAGCAUACGGCGAACGGGAAAGGGUAUCUCCGCCGAAACGCGGUGCCUUCCUUCCGCGUUGGGCAUACGGGAGAAUACCCGCAUGACUGUCACCGUCCGUGAAGCGCUAUUU